rnacentral:tRNA from 1 species
GUCGGAGUGGCGGAACAGGCAGACGCGUACGUUUGAGGGGCGUAUCCGAGAGGGUGAGGGUUCAAGUCCCUCCUCCGACA